AAGCUAUCCAGCACAGAUUGCCUUGCCUGGCUUGAGAUGGGCAUUUUGCUACCAGUGUAGACUGAGAUUCAUCUAGGAGAAAGAAGAAAAAUAUCUCUGUGUAGGCAACCAAUACUGUCUGCCAUACUCACACUUGGGUAGUGUGAGACAGUUUGGAGAUGGAUUUAAGGUGAGAAAUGGAUCACAAAGCCCUCGCAAGAGAUGCUGGGAUAACUUUUGUGUAUGUGUGCUCAAUUGUGUCUGUCCUUUGUGACACCAUGGACUAAAGCCCACCAGGCUCCUCUGUCCAUGGAAUUUCCUGGGCAAGAAUACUGGAAUGGGUUGUCUUUCCUUUCUCCAGGGGAUCUUCCCAACCCAGGGCUCAAAUCUGUGCCUCCUGCUUGGCAUGCAGAUUCUUCACCACUGCACCACCUGGCAAGUGGGAUAACUGUUAUCUGCCCUAAUUCUAUAAGGAGGAUUCUAUAUUCUAUUAAAGAUGUGUAAAGCAUCCUCAGUGAAAGAAACACAGCUGAAAUGAUUGCAAAUACACGGCGUGGUAUGUACUACAAUUCCAUUAUUGCAAGCAACAAUUCAAUUGAAAAGGUUACUUUGACUAUUGUUUUAGUUGGAACCAUGUUUGUUUUCAUAUUCUCAGUUGCUAAAUGCAGACAGUCAGAAUUUCUAACAAUAGCCACAGUAUGUGGCUGUAACAGCAGUGUUCUUGCCUCAUGUAGGUAGCGUCAAAAUAGUUGC
rnacentral:lncRNA from 1 species